rnacentral:rRNA from 1 species
AGCACGUAGGUGGGUUUGUAAGUCAGAUGCGAAAGCCUUCUGUUCGACGGGAGAAUUGUAUCUGAAACUGCGGGUCUUGAGUAUAGGAGGGGAGAAUAGAACUUCUGGUGGAGCGGUGAAAUGCGUAGAUAUCAGAAGGAACGCAGGCGGCGAAAGCGAUUCUCUGGCCUAUUACUGACACUCAGUGUGCGAAAGCUAGGGGAGCAAACGGGAUUAGAUACCCCGGUAGUCCUAGCCGUAAGCGAUGGGCACUAAGUAGAGGGG